GCCGAAAUAGCUCAGUUGGGAGAGCGUUAGACUGAAGAUCUAAAGGCUUCAGCUUUCCUGAAAGGUUCACAUCCUUCAGGUGCUGAAUCUUAAAGCA